UGGGGAAUUUUGGACAAUGGGCGCAAGCCUGAUCCAGCCAUGCCGCGUGAGUGAAGAAGGCCUUCGGGUUGUAAAGCUCUUUCAGACGGAAAGAAAUCUCUCAGGAUAAUACCUUGGGAGGAUGACGGCACCGUAAGAAGAAGCACCGGCUAACUACGUGCCAGCAGCCGCGGUAAUACGUAGGGUGCGAGCGUUAAUCGGAAUUACUGGGCGUAAAGCGUGCGCAGGCGGUCUUGUAAGACAGUCGUGAAAGCCCCGGGCUUAACCUGGGAACUGCGAUUGUGACUGGAAGGCUAGAGUGUGUCAAAGGGGGAUGGAAUUCAGCGUGUAGCAGUGAAAUGCGUAGAUAUGCGGAGGACCACCGAUGGCGAAGGCAAUCCCCUGGGCCUGUACUGACGCUCAUGCACGAAAGCGUGGGGAGCAAACA
rnacentral:rRNA from 1 species